rnacentral:lncRNA from 1 species
GAGCCGCCCGCCCGCCGCCUCAGAGCUCCCGCUCCGCCGGCAGGAGCCGCCGCCAGCCCGGGGUCCCGCUGAGGGUGCCGCUGCCGCCCGGGCCCGGUGGAUGCCACCCGCCGCUGUUCCGGCUCCCUGCUCCGGCUGCCUCUUUCUGCUCCUCUGUGCUUUUUCCGCUGCAAAUCGUCCGGGCGCUUCACCGCCGCGCGGUACUGGCGGGGACCCCCCGGACGCCUUCCCGCAGCCAGCUCCAUCCCGAGCACCGGGAAGCGCCCGGGAGGUCCCGGCCGGAGGAGGAUGCGGCACCUCGGGGUGAGCUUUCGGAUGGGGGAAAAAGGGAGGGUGACCCCCAAAAUCUCACCCGUCUGUUUAAGUUGUCCCUUUCCGAGCUAGCCCUGCUCUUCCAGCAUUUCUUUGGAGCAUUUGAUUUUAAUUAUCCGCGGAAUUCAGCCUUCUAAUUGUGACUGGUUGGGGGGAGAAAUAAAAGCAACUCCCCAAAUUCAAGUUUCAUCUGCUGCUUCCCCCAGGAAAAAUAGAGGGUCACGAUAGAUUGACAGGGGAAUAAAUAAGAAAUUGGGCUUCAGGCAUUCCAACGUUUAAAAAGUACCAGGAACAUGGUGGUUUUUGUUUAAUUACUGUGAUGUGUAAUAAAUAAACUGUUUGCUUUGAAUUUAAAUGUGUUUAAAUGUGCCCGAACAUCCAUCUGUCUUCUAUGUGAAAAUUAAUUUGUUCUCUUAAACGGCAAAGCAGGAUUUUAUUUUAUUUUUUUUAAAAAACCCUUCAAACUGUAAUUUUUCCAGUUUUCAGCUUUCCGUUUGCAGAGUUACCACCUGACAUAUUUGAAAUACAACUUUCAAAGCGUCUUUAAAAGAAAAAUUAUUUUAAGUCUCAAGGCAAACUACAUAAGUUGGACUUGCUAAUUGAAUAAUUGAAAUUUUCUUCUAAAAUUUAAUGAGAUUGGGGAUGGGUUUAUGUUUCCCUGGGCUGUGGAUUGGUGACUUUGCAAUGCUGUUGGACACUUGGGGAAAUCUUUUUUUCCCUCUCCUGUGACCCAUAAUUAAUGCAUAUUCCUGUAAUUCCUAUCUCAUUAGGCAAUUUACCUUGACUCACAGAAUUCCAGUGUUUCAUCUGUUUUAUCCAGGGCUGAGUCCAAGCAAUAAUCACUAUUUUUAGUCCAUUUUUUCCCAAUCCAGCCCCUCCUGCGGAGCACUUUCCUCGGAAGAUCCCAACCUCAGUGCGUGACUGAG